UACAGAGGGUGCGAGCGUUAAUCGGAAUUACUGGGCGUAAAGGGCUCGUAGGUGGCCAACUAAGUCAGACGUGAAAUCCCUCAGCUUAACUGGGGAACUGCGUCUGAUACUGGAUGGCUUGAGUUUGGGAGAGGGAUGCGGAAUUCCAGGUGUAGCGGUGAAAUGCGUAGAUAUCUGGAGGAACACCGGUGGCGAAGGCGGCAUCCUGGACCAACACUGACACUGAGGAGCGAAAGCCAGGGGAGCAAACGGG
rnacentral:rRNA from 1 species